rnacentral:lncRNA from 1 species
UUGAGAACCAUGAACCAAAAAACAUCGAAGAAGCUUUAAUGGAGCAAAAUGCAGAAAACCAGACAUGACAGAAUACAACACUCUCAUUGUAAACAACACAUGGUAUUUAGUUGAAUUACCACCUGAUCGCAAAUCGAUAGGGUGCAAGUGGCUCUUCAAGUUAAAGAACAACCCGAAUGUCACAAUGGCAAGAUAUAAGGCGAGACUAGUUGGUAAAGGCUUCUUUCUAGUCCUAGGCACGAUUUUCGUGAAACCUAUAGCCCAGUAGUUAAAUUUGCUACCGCCAACAUGUUUCUUGCUUUGGCAACCUAUAAUUACUGGAAUCUAAGACACAUCGAUAUCAACAAUGCAUUCCUAAAAGGAGACUUAUUUGAGGAUAUCUAUAUGACUCAACCUCCUGAUUUUGAGCAAAACUUUGAUGACGGUAAAACUUUAGUUUGAAAACUUCAUAAAGCUAUAUAUGGCCUGCGUCAAGCACCAAGAAACUGGUUCCACAAACUACAAAAAUUUCUUAUUACCAUUGGUUUCACUUCUUCUAAAACGGAGACCUCAUUAUUUAUUCUUAAAGAUGGAGAAAAUAUCACUUACAUGAUUGUGUAUGUGGAUGAUAUACUGCUAACAAGAAACUCUCACGUGACAACCGAAAAUACAGUAGAACAACUUCACAAACAGUUUUCCUUGAAGGACUUAAGUAGCCCUGCGUAUUUUUUGGGAAUUGAAGUUCAUUCUAUUGGUAAUGGUAUCUUCAUCAACCAAAAGAAAUACACCUUGGACUUGCUUGCUCAAACCAACAUGAUGAAUAGUCAACCUACACCAACACCAAUGGCAGUUGGCAAGAAACUGGCUAAAAAUGAUGGUAAUGCCCUUAGUGAUCCUCAACACUAUAGAAGCAUAGUAAGGUCACUGCAAUACCUCUGCCACACAAGGCCAAAAAUAUCAUACAGUGUCAACAAGGUUGCUCAAUAUAUGCAAGAUCCUAGAGAGUCUCACUGGGUUGCUGUCAAAUAAAUUCUUCGCUAUUUAAAAGGCACCUUAGAUCAUGGGUUGGUGUUCACUGCUGGUAAAAUAAUAAACCUCACAGCAUACACCGAUGCCGACUUGGGAAGUGAUGUCAAUGACCGAAAAUCAACAUCGGGUCAUUGUGUUCUUCUAAGACCCAACAUUAUUUCAUGGAGUUCCAAAAAACAAAGGUCUGUCUCUCGAUCGACUGCGGAAGCAGAAUACAGAAGCCUUGCUGAUAUGGCCUCAGAAAUUAUAUGGUUACAGUCCCUGUUAGCAGACUUCCAAAUCAACUUAAUUGAACCACCCAAAAUUUGGUGUGACAAUUCAAGCACUGUUGCCAUGGCUGCCAACCCAAUUCUACACUCGAAAACAAAACAUGUUGAUUUGGAUAUUCACUUUGUUCGUGAAAAGGUGCUCAAUAACCAAAUUCAUGUUGGAUAUGUUCCAGCAAAACAUCAAGCUGCUGAUGUCUUCACUAAACCUCUCCUGACCAAGGCAUUCCAAGAAUAACGAGAGAAGUUGUGUGUCAUCCCUUAGAUGAAGCUACCACUCUUCUUAACAAGGAAAAAAGACAGAAAACAUAGCCAAUAUUAUAUGCAUAUUGUACAAGCUCAAUUUUGGGCCCAAAACCCCUAAACCCACUAAGCCAAUAACCCCAAACCUACCCAUGCCCACACACACAACAAAAGAAAAAGCUAAGGAAACCCUAACCGUCAGCACAUGCUCCCCACCCCAUCCACCACCGUCGCCUGCAAGUGGCCUCUGCUCCACCACCGUUUGCCUGCAGCAACAACAGAAGAAUAGACAAAUAUUAAAAGAAAAAGAAAUGUAAUGGCUAUUUAAAGCCAAAUCAAAGAACCAUGUAAAGGGGGAUUUUUUUUUUUAAAUGAAAAAGCAAUAUUAGAUUAUAAACAAAAAAAACACAAUAUUAGUCAGUAAAGAACAAAAGAAGCGACAUCAAAAUAAACCCAAAGCCCUCAGAAAUCAAACCCGUACCUAAGGUGAUUUCCUUUUAUUUUUCCAUUUUUUUCGAGUUUCUUUAUAUACAUAAACAUAUAAUAUAAGUAAAAAUAACUUACAUAUAUUAAACAAGUAUAAAAUAAAAAAAAGAGAAAAAAAUUUACCCUCGGCGGUGGCCGGCUCGAUGGACGACGCGGCGGCGGACGGCUGACUCCUCGCCGAUUUCUGGGCUUGCACAGAGAAAAAGUAAGAAAGAGAACAUUUUUUUUCUAAACAGAAAGGAAGAAU